rnacentral:rRNA from 1 species
CUUGGCGGCGUCCUACACAUGCAAGUCUNCCGAGGAGAUAGCAGUGAUUUAUCACAGCUUGAACCUAGCGGCGGACGGGUGAGUAACGCGUGAGCAACCUACCUGUUAGAGGGGGAUAACACAUCGAAAGGUGUGCUAAUACCGCAUAAUAUACUUGAAUCACAUGAAACAAGUAUCAAAGGAGCAAUCCGCUAACAGAUGGGCUCGCGUCCCAUUAGCUAGUUGGUAAGGUAAAAGCCUACCAAGGCAACGAUGGGUAGCCGGCCUGAGAGGGUGAACGGCCACAUUGGGACUGAGACACGGCCCAGACUCCUACGGGAGGCAGCAGUGGGGGAUAUUGCGCAAUGGGGGAAACCCUGACGCAGCAACGUCGCGUGAAGGAAGAAGGCUUUCGGGUCGUAAACUUUUGUCUUCUGGGAAGAAAGAAAUGACGGUACCAGAGGAGGAAGCCACGGCUAACUACGUGCCAGCAGCCGCGGUAAUACGUAGGUGGCGAGCGUUGUCCGGAUUUACUGGGUGUAAAGGGUGCGUAGGCGGGUAUGCAAGUCAGAUGUGAAAGACCGAGGCUCAACUUCGGGGUUGCAUUUGAAACUGUAUAUCUUGAGUGCAGGAGAGGAAAGCGGAAUUCCUAGUGUAGCGGUGAAAUGCGUAGAUAUUAGGAAGAACACCAGUGGCGAAGGCGGCUUUCUGGCCUGUAACUGACGCUGANGCACGAAAGCGUGGGGAGCAACAGGAUUAGAUACCCUGGUAGUCCC